UACGGAGGGGGCUAGCGUUGUUCGGAAUUACUGGGCGUAAAGCGCGCGUAGGCGGUUCUUCAAGUCAGAGGUGAAAGCCCGGUGCUCAACACCGGAAUUGCCUUUGAAACUAGGGAACUUGAAUCCAGGAGAGGUGAGUGGAAUUCCGAGUGUAGAGGUGAAAUUCGUAGAUAUUCGGAAGAACACCAGUGGCGAAGGCGGCUCACUGGACUGGUAUUGACGCUGAGGUGCGAAAGCGUGGGGAGCAAACAGG
rnacentral:rRNA from 3 species